rnacentral:lncRNA from 1 species
GCAUGGUUUGUUGGCUUCAACAGAUAAUGGUUAUCAUGGAGCAAAGCAUGGUUUGGUCAUGGGGAUGAUUUGGCAUAUUCUUUGGAAUUAGUUUUUGGUAGUUUUGGAGUGAGUUCGAUUUGGCCCCAAUGUCCAUUUUGUAAAUUUGUAAGCUUAGAAACAUCUCAUGAUUUGUAAUGAAUAUAACACUGGAUGUGAAUGAAAAUUGGUGUCCUUGUAGCAAAACAUAGUUGUUCUUUGCCUUAGAACUUCCAAGUAUUCAUCUGAGAUACUUUAAGAUUACAUUAAUCAC